UCGCUGAAAGGAUGGAAAGAAAAAUUAUUGUCAUUGGGUGGUAAGGAAAUACUAUUGAAGGCAAUAAUCCAGUCUAUCCCGGUGUUUGCCAUGGAGGUAUUUAAGAUCCCCAAAAAGGUAUGCGAGGAAAUUACUGAUGGAAUGGUAGCUUUUUGGUGGGGAGACUCUAAGGAGCAACAAAAGAUGCAUUGGUUUGCAUGGUGGUGAAUGUGUCUGCCAAGUAAGGGAGGCAUGAGUUUUAGAGAUUUACAUGCUUUUAUUCUUUCUAUGCUUGCUAAAAAGAGUUGGAUAUUAAUUACACAUCCUGAUACUUUGUGUGACGGGUAUUACGAGCCAAAUACUACCCACAUGGAAAUGUUCUGA
rnacentral:rRNA from 1 species